ACGAACGCUGGCGGCGUGCUUAACACAUGCAAGUCGAACGGAAAGGCCCUGCUUUUGUGGGGUGCUCGAGUGGCGAACGGGUGAGUAACACGUGAGUAACCUUCCCUUGACUUUUGGAUAACUUCAGGAAACUUGGGCUAAUACCGGAUUGGAGCUCCUGCCGCAUGGUGGGGGUUUGAAAGUUUCGGCGGUUGGGGAUGGACUCGCGGCUUAUCAGCUUGUUGGUGGGGUAGUGGCUUACCAAGGCUUUGACGGGUAGCCGGCCUGAGAGGGUGACCGGCCACAUUGGGACUGAGAUACGGCCCAGACUCCUACGGGAGGCAGCAGUGGGGAAUAUUGCACAAUGGGCGGAAGCCUGAUGCAGCAACGCCGCGUGCGGGAUGACGGCCUUCGGGUUGUAAACCGCUUUCGCCUGUGACGAAGCGUGAGUGACGGUAAUGGGUAAAGAAGCACCGGCUAACUACGUG
rnacentral:rRNA from 1 species